rnacentral:rRNA from 1 species
UACGUAGGCAGCAAGCGUUGUUCGGAAUUACUGGGCGUAAAGGGUGCGCAGGCGGCGUCGCAAGUCAGGCGUGAAAUCCCCGGGCUUAACCUGGGAACUGCACUUGAAACUACGAUGCUGGAGUAUGGCAGAGGGAGGUGGAAUUCCACGUGUAGCGGUGAAAUGCGUAGAGAUGUGGAGGAACACCGAUGGCGAAGGCAGCCUCCUGGGCCAAUACUGACGCUCAUGCACGAAAGCGUGGGGAGCAAACAGG